rnacentral:lncRNA from 1 species
UAUCAAAACACCAAUGGCAGGUUUAGUGUUACAUUCUAUACAAUUAUUUGUAAAAUAUGAACGAUUUAAGAUAAUAUCUGAAUGAAUUAUCAAAAGAGUGCUACACAAGUGGAAAACUGCAAUAAUACAUUUAGAAAAUCUACUUCAUGAGGGUGUGGAUGGAGGUACACUAAACAAAGAGAGAGGGGCAAAAUUUUUAAUAACAGUUAAAAUGA